rnacentral:misc_RNA from 1 species
GGUUGAUGGGUCAGGUUCUAUUUUCUCACGGUGCAUCUGCUCGGCAACAAGCUCAAUAACAUCGAUCCUUCCCUUUUCAUAUGCUUUUUUGAGAAUACUAUUAUAUAACAAUACAUCGGGCUGAAUCCCUUCUGAGCUCCCUAGAUCCAAAAGUUUCAAGGCCUCAUCAAAAUUUCCAUCAUCCAACAGAUUCUUUAUGAGAGCAGUAUAAGUCGCUGCCUGUGG